rnacentral:misc_RNA from 1 species
AAGUUGAGGAAGAAAAUAAAUAAUGCUUUAGUAACAAUCCAGAUAAACCCAUUAAUACUUGUACCCAGUAUGCUAAGUGUUAGUUAUUACCUAUUAAGGGCAAGAGACAUCAAGUUUGUAACAGCCCAAAUUAACCAUACACCACCUAUAAAACCAUCCCAAUCCUUAUUCACCCAGCUAUACAAUCUAAAUUACAGAACUACAAGCAACCACUUAAAACAAUAACAUCACUUCACAUUGGAAACUUUACCAGACAUGAAAUCUACACUGGUCAGGACAAUCUACGAGAAAAGUUGGCUCUUAUAAUCCAGUGUCAUCCGUCAGCUACAACA